UACGAAGGGUGCAAACGUUGUCCGGAAUUAUUGGGCGUAAAGAGCUCGUAGGCGGUCUGUCGCGUCGGUCGUGAAAACUUGGGGCUUAACCCUGAGCUUGCGGUCGAUACGGGCAUGACUGGAGUUCGGCAGGGGAGACUGGAAUUCCUGGUGUAGCGGUGAAAUGCGUAGAUAUCUGGAGGAAUACCGAUGGCGAAGGCGGCUUCCUGGCCCAAUACUGACACUCAGGUGCGACAGCGUGGGGAGCAAACAGG
rnacentral:rRNA from 1 species